UCUUUGGAGUUCUGCUGGCAGAAGUGGCAGCUCACUCCAAAGGGAUCUGCCUUUGUCAUCCCUACCAUUCUAGAUGUUGCAAUAUUAACAUCUGGCUGUUCACUCGUAUUAUUUCAUCUGACUUUGGGUCUAAGCAGAAAAUGCCUAAUCAGUAGUCCCACACAAUCAAUGAAGUAUUUAAUGUCUUCAAUAAUUAAUCACUUUCUUUAAGUGUAAUUCCUAAGGGCCCUAUCUUUUUCAACCUCUAAAUUAGGGAAGAAAGACCAGCAAAAAGUCACAGUUUUACCGAAUGAAAAUAAUGUCUGUUUUAAUUAUUUUAAUUAUUUUCCUAACAUGACAAAUGCUAGAGAUCCUCAUGACUGUUCCAUGGCUCAAGUUGUGGAAAACAUUAAGCAGGAAGAGCAUAAAAAUUCAGCUACUUCCUAGGAAUACAAAUGAGAAAGUUUUAAGGGUUUUUUUCUGUUAGCCUGAAGCUCACAGAAAUCCUGUCUCUUAAUUUGAGGUAAGGAAUUUAAAAGUUUUUCGAAUAGAUUUAGAAGUGAUUAUAGUUAUAAGGUCAGAAGAAUAGUCAAUUAGGAGGUGUUUGUGGAAGAUGUACUUGUUCUUUUCAUAUCCAUUUGUCUGGAAGUUUAGAAAGAUAAGAAAAAGUAUAAGUAGAGUUCAUAUUUCGACAGACACUGAACAGUGGAAUAAAGAUCCAUUAUAUAUUGCAAUAAAAGAAGGGGAUGAGAGAAUUUUGCAAUGGACCAGUUUUUGGAGAGUCAGCUCUUAGCCAUAUGAAGCUAUUUCUGGUUCAAAAAAAGACAUCUCUGCUACACUGAGAAAUUGAAAAAAAUGAAAAGCUGAUCUGAACAACCACCACCAGGAUCUGUCCGAGUUCCCAACAUCAUUUAUUUCUGGAGUAGGUCUUUCAAAACACAUGCUGGUUUCUAGUGCUCAGUGGGAUUAGUGCCCUCAGCAUCCCCCUUCUGUCACUCUGUUGUUCCUUAGUGACCACAAGAGUGUGAUCUACAGGUAGAGAUAAUUGAUUUAUAUGUGUGUGUGUGUGUGUGUGUGUGUGUGUGUGUAGAGCACAUUUGUUUGAGAUGCCUUUGUGUGGGAAGAAUCUAUCCAGCCAUCUCUGAAAUCCCUAAGUCUAUAACCAAUAUACUGAAAUUUAGAUUCUACAUAUUCUUUAUACUUGCUGCUUAAAAACGUCUUUUCAGCCCUCUCCUGUAUUCCUAUACUUUUUCCAAUCCAUCUCCUUUAGAAAAACUGCUGAAGAGCCGUGUUUUGUACACAGAGUACAUUUUAUGGCAACAGCAACACAGAGUGGUGAAAUCCAUUAGUGGAAGCAGCGUAAGUACAAAGAAGUGCAUAUAAGCACCUUUUUUGCAGUUGAUGUUUCAGGAUGCUUUAGCUGAAGAGUAUCUUAUGAAACCACAGCUUCACUUUCCCCUUGGUUAAAAAGAAAAGCUACUGGCAAGAAGGUGUUCAGGCCCGUGAUGUUUUUAAUCUGCUCCAUCAGCUGUGCUGAGCAUUUUACCGGCUGGGUCAUACAGCGUGACCUAGAGAUUUAAAGGGAAAAUGGGUUGUUCAGGCUUUGGAUGGCUGUGGAUGAACUUCUGCAGAGGGACUUGGGGUUGAUGGGACAGCAUCCUGAACUUCCUGAGCCCCCAUCCAGGCAAAAUCUCUAUCAGUUCCAAGUGGGUGGGCAGAAGCAAGAGCCGGGGUUUGUCCCCAGAAUCAGAGGAGCACGAGCAGAUGGUUUAUGAAAAUUUUGUGUUGUCAAUUCCACCAGAAAAUCCUUGUGGAAACCAAACCUCACAUCAGAACCAUCCCUGCCCAAAGCUGUGACUUCCUGCAGGGAGAGCAAGAUAUUCGUCUUGUUCCUGAUGAAUAACUACUUAGUUCUGCAAACGAAUGUAAUGAAAGUGCGUUUUCCUUAAUGAAUGAACUGCAAAAUUAAAUCAGUAUUUUUCAGUCAACUAUAGCUAUUUCAGUAAGUUGUGUCUGCUUCUUCCACAAUGCUGAAUCACAAUGUCAAACCAGCACAACUGAAUUAUAGGAGAGGAAAUAAAGUAACAUGCUGAACACCAGCAAGUUACUUCAAAUUGCCAGUGCCAUAACUACCUAUGGGGAAUGAGAACAGUCAAGGCAUAGAUUCAGCUGGGGGAAAAUUGACUCAGAGUGACUGAUUUGCAAAGUUUCAAGGCUCAAUUUUUCAUCCCAUCUGAGCUUUAUAGACUGGUUGCACCCUUCAGUCUGUUACUGGUUUUGCUACAGGGAUUUUUUUAGCUGUGAAGAAGUGAGGGAAAGUAAUUGAAGAACCAGUAUUUGUACAUUUGGCUUUUAAAAAGGUAAAGGAACUUGUUGAUUUUCAGUGCAAUGUUAGUUUGCAUUUUGUUGUUCUUAAAAAUAGAUCCCAAAAUCCUUUCUACAGAAGAGAAAAUAUUGCAGCCAAAUAAUUUUUCUUUGCAUUUUUAAGCAGAGAUGAGUACCUUAUUCCUUAUUUUAAUGUGCUGAGAAACAUGGUGCAGUGACUUUAUUGUCAUAUGAGGUUGUAAUGGAGUGUUUUAUAUGGAAUGAAAAGCCAGAAAUUUCAAGUGAAAUAUAUGGCUUUGUUUGUGAUGAAGGCAACAAAGGCAGAAUCUCUCCACAGUUAACAGGUAACUCCAAGAAAUAGAUUAUAUAUUGAUGCAAUACAUUGUUUUUUAAAAGUAGUAAUGAAUUGAGCCAUAGUUGAGAAAUCAAGUACUAAAGUUGUUGGCUCUGGUGACUACAUGUACAGAUCACCUCUGACUAAUAUGUUUCGUCAUAUUAGUCAGGACAAUUUAUUAAGUCCUGUAAUUUGUGAAUAUUUCAUAUUUAUUUUCUCCAUUGCCAUGGGAAGGCGGGAGCUGGGAAAGCAAAGGUCGUAUCUAAGCUGUAUUUGUGCUGGUAAAAUGAAGAGGUAAAUGCACCUAAGUCAAUAUAUUAGGGAUGUGCAUUUUGGUUUAGAGAUAAAAAUUGCAUUUUUCAUCUCAUUUCUUUCCAGAUAAGAAAUCUGAGAGUUCAAUCUGAGAAUGUGCAAACUUCAUUCCUAAGAAUCCCCACCAUAUUUAAUUGUCUAAGAUAUAAUUUACUCUAUCUGACGCAGAGUCAUUGCUCCUAAUGCAGAUCAAAAUAUGUCUGUCCCUUUCAGUAGAAGCAAAACUGGGACAAGAAGAAAUUCUCAUUGUAAACACAAUCUUCUCUCUCAAAGCUUAGCCUUCCAGCCCUGAGGAGUUAAGCUCCCACCUCAGACAUGGAAGCCUUUCCCUCGCAGAAGUGAGUAUGAAUCCCAAUCCUGCAGCACAGCCCCACCUCCACUGUUAAGGUGAAAUGUAGGAGGGUUGAGACAAUAAGGAAAAUAAGUAGCUGUGAACCUACGAGUGACCAGGAGUCUGUGGAGUGACCUAGUGUUUGGCCAACUCAGAUACACAGGCUGCCUUGGCAGAACUUGGAAGCAGGAAGAUGUUUGGGAAUGCAUCCAGCUGCAAAGGGCCCAUAGAGAAGGAUGAUGCUGGCACAGUCUGUGUGGCAGGUGAUCAUGGGUUGUUUUCAAGUGUUUACUGCAUUUUUUGAUUAAGAAGUGGUCAGAUCAUUUGGGGGUGAGGAGGAGGGAGUCUGGGUCACUCAUGGAUGAAAGUUUGGGUUAAUUAUUAGCAGCAAAUUGGCAGGGGAGGGAAGGGAAAGGGAGGUAGAAGAGGAGGGGGCUGGCAUUCUGGGACUGUAAGAGAAACCUCUAAUUCUUACCCCCCCUUCCCCUCUGACUCUACUUUUCAUUCAUGAGUGGUGAUUCACCUUUGUCUCUUAUUAUUCUCUCUUCUGUGUACACAUUUAAAGCACCCAGUCAGCAUGGAAACUACCUCUCAUAUAAAUGUCAUCUGUUCCAUGGAGACAGAACCAGAAAGAUCAUAAAGUUACAGCAAAUCCGUGCCAGCCUCACCGGAACACAAUGUUCAGUUCAGUACCUAAAACUCUGGGGUUUGGCUGGAAAAUAUUAGACUAAUCCCUGAUAACUUUCAGAAUAUAAGAUCAUCUGAACAUUUUAAAGUGCAGAGCUCCUGAGCAGAGCUGUCCUUCCACUUCUCAUGGAUGUCCCUCCCACAGCAGCUGCAUCUUAAACAGGAAUCCAGCUGAAGCAGCAAGGCUGCCGUGGUACUUUACAGGUCAUGUAUCAUGAGAAGCAGUGUUGUGCUCACACCUUUGUAGAGUUGUGGCUUCCAGCUCAUUGUGAACCUGGCACUGAAUCUCUGCUGGUGGUUUUGCUGCCUGUAUUAGGUAUUAUUCAGUUAUCUGGGACGUCUGAUAAAAUCUUUGUACUGGCUUGAAAAUAUCAGCGUAUCACAUGGCAGGCCAACCUGAGAAGAACUGUGUCAUUCUGAGGUCUAGUGGAUGAGAUGCUGGGAAGCACAAGGGAAGGAGGAAUUCUUCCUUCGCCAUCUACCAAAGGAGAAGAAAAGCUACUUGAGAGUUCUUCUCUCUCACAUGUGCCAUGUCACUUUGGAGGGAAAAGAGUCUUACAGAAGGGGACCAUACUCAUCAGCAUCAUCAGUAUCUGUGUAAAAAAGGUAUAGGUGUGUGCAGAACAGGCAGCAAACUGUUCAGAGACAGACUGGAAACACAGUCUUAAGAGCCUUCCUUAAUUUGGGUUUGCCUUUUCAACCGGUGGUACAAAAUUGGAUGAUACUUCAUAAACUUAUCUUACCAACACACUUAACAGCUUUUAUGAAAAUGCUUCUUUUUGUAAUAUUUAAACUCUGCAAGUCUGUGAGUUCUCAAGUGCUAUGCAAAGGUCUCCCACAGCAUGCACUUUAUAUGUGGCUUUAAUUGUCUGAAACACGUGUUGCUUUUACUGAGGAUGUUCCCAGGUGCCUGUGUUGAUUGGAGGUUCCUGGGAGGGUUCACUAAAAAUCAUUAGUCCUGGUGGAAGAAAGCUUGCUCUGGUGCCUGGACUGAGGAUCUGAACAGGCCACUCUGAGGCAGUGAGUAUUGCAAGCUCAAAAAACAGAUCAGGGCUUAAAAUGUCACCCAAUUCUCCAGUGCCCUGACCCGACAGUAAUUGCUUACUUCUGAACACACACAGUCUGUUUUAUUACUAGUGUUACACUGCACAGAGGUAGCAUUUACUUACCUUUCCCAAGUUAAACAAAUGUCCAGAAUCGCAAAGAAUUGGGCAAAGUGUGUUCCUCCAAGAGCUUUACCUUUCUGAACUGUCAUAAAAUAUUAACUGUUAACAGAAGAAUUACUUUCACUUUUGUCACCACUAUUUGUUUUUCCAGGCUGCUGAAUACACAAGCCAGAGGCCCUGUGAGCCUUUGCAAUAAUGUUUUCAUACACUGCCAUCUGUUGUUACGGUGUGUCCCUGUCGCUGCUGUGCUGUCCCGCCGGGGGUUCUAUUCCAGCAGGAAGCAGUUCCUUUCCAGGAAGUAUGUUCAAAGCAUAGUCAAGCUUUAAUUCAUACAUGUAGAUUCUAACAAUUCUGCUUUCAGUUAUGGCAACGGCCAAAUUAGUGUUGCUUUUAAUCCCACUUCACUUAUUUCAAUAGUAAGUUUGUACCUUUAUUCACACCAGAGCAUUCAUGUUCUAAAUCAGCAGUGAAUUUACAGCAAAACAUACACACACAUAUCACAAACUUCCCAUGUAUUUAUACAUACCAAAAUUAGAAAGGAUCCUGUCAGUGCAUGAAUACAUUUACACUCACGGACCUGCUUAUUUAGAGAGCUGUUCCAGAAUCUGCAUGUUUACUUAACAUUUUGGAUAUAAUUAAGCUAUGGAUUUGAAUCCAAGAUCUGAUCAGUUAGCACCUUAUUCCCUAAAUCUGUAUUAUAAAAAAAUAGAACAUAAUGUUACAGAAGCUGUCAGAAAAGUAAAAUAACUUGUGUGUGAUUGAAUAAGGGGUGAUCAUGUGUGUUGGAGAGCAAACCUAAAGCACCCAGGCACACAGUCACAAACCAGCUGGCAAGUGAAGGAGAUAAGUGAAGGAGCUAGGAAUUGGUCUAAGCCUAUGGAAUUACAGCUGAGUACCCCUGCCUUAGAGCAGCUCACCUAAGUGUGCAGCUAUCCUAGUUCCACAAGUGCUUGUGUGGGAGAUGGCACAGUUCUGACUGCCCAGGAGGUCAGAACUGCAACUGUGAUUUUUGUGUGUGUUACAACUCGUCUGAGCACAAGCCUCGGAUCUGAAGCACUGGACACAGGAGAGAGCCUUUGUACUUGACACCAUGGGGACAAACUUCCAAAAGGCCAGUUUUCAACUUCUUUAAAAAAGAGAAUGUAUCUGAUCAAUACACUUAAAGAACUCGCGUAUUCAAAAAUGUAGAAAGGCACAGGAGAGUUAGUCAUUUAUCGCAUUCACAAAAAUAUAAGUUUAUUUGCAUAUCCAAAUACAGGAUAUUUAUUUAAGUGAAAACUGUAUGCUCCAGUUUAAAUAAUUUCACUUGCCAUUUAAUAAAACUGCAGUCUUAAUAACUGCAACUAACAUUACUGCCCAAACACUAAAGAACUCGAAGCUUCUUUCUGUUCUUUAUGCAGCUGUUUUGCCCUGUUUUUCAGAUCCUCUGCCUUAGCAUCAUUCUUUUCCACGCCAUCUCCCAGUUUGUACAUGCGGCUGGCAUUGGCACAGGCCCACAUGUGCCCCAGCUCACACCCUUUCAGUGAGUACUUCAGGGCACGGCCCAUGUCCUUGGGGACCCCAGGUGCCCCCUGCAGGUAUAUCACACCCAGGUUGAAGCAGCUGGCAGCAAAAUUGCCAUCACAGGCUUUUGUGUAAUAGUCUCUAGCGACCACGAGGUCAGGUUUGUCAUUGUUCACUCUCCCAUCGUGGGCCAACAGCCCGACGUUGUGACAGGCAUUCACUGACUUCUUCCCACCUUUCUCACAUGACUUCAGGAAAGACUUGUAGGCAGCUUUCAAAUCUGGUUCAAGUCCACCUGUCAGCCAAGAACCCAAAACAUUUCAGUAAGGACAUGAUAAAACAGAUAGGAGGUCUCUCUGCUUUGCAGCAUGCUUCCCUUCCCACUGGAAAUACAGCAUCCCUCUCUCUAGAUACCACAGUCAACAUUUAGGACU